CAUAGGUUAAUGAGGCGAACCGGGGGAACUGAAACAUCUAAGUACCCCGAGGAAAAGAAAUCAACCGAGAUUCCCCCAGUAGCGGCGAGCGAACGGGGAGCAGCCCAGAGCCUGAAUCAGUGUGUGUGUUAGUGGAAGCGUCUGGAAAGGCGCGCGAUACAGGGUGACAGCCCCGUACACAAAAAUGCACAUGCUGUGAGCUCGAUGAGUAGGGCGGGACACGUGGUAUCCUGUCUGAAUAUGGGGGGACCAUCCUCCAAGGCUAAAUACUCCUGACUGACCGAUAGUGAACCAGUACCGUGAGGGAAAGGCGAAAAGAACCCCGGCGAGGGGAGUGAAAAAGAACCUGAAACCGUGUACGUACAAGCAGUGGGAGCACGCUUCGGCGUGUGACUGCGUACCUUUUGUAUAAUGGGUCAGCGACUUAUAUUCUGUAGCAAGGUUAACCGAAUAGGGGAGCCGAAGGGAAACCGAGUCUUAACUGGGCGUUAAGUUGCAGGGUAUAGACCCGAAACCCGGUGAUCUAGCCAUGGGCAGGUUGAAGGUUGGGUAACACUAACUGGAGGACCGAACCGACUAAUGUUGAAAAAUUAGCGGAUGACUUGUGGCUGGGGGUGAAAGGCCAAUCAAACCGGGAGAUAGCUGGUUCUCCCCGAAAGCUAUUUAGGUAGCGCCUCGUGAAUUCAUCUCCGGGGGUAGAGCACUGUUUCGGCAAGGGGGUCAUCCCGACUUACCAACCCGAUGCAAACUGCGAAUACCGGAGAAUGUUAUCACGGGAGACACACGGCGGGUGCUAACGUCCGUCGUGAAGAGGGAAACAACCCAGACCGCCAGCUAAGGUCCCAAAGUCAUGGUUAAGUGGGAAACGAUGUGGGAAGGCCCAGACAGCCAGGAUGUUGGCUUAGAAGCAGCCAUCAUUUAAAGAAAGCGUAAUAGCUCACUGGUCGAGUCGGCCUGCGCGGAAGAUGUAACGGGGCUAAACCAUGCAC
rnacentral:rRNA from 1 species